CCUACGGGUGGCUGCAGUGAGGAAUAUUGGUCAAUGGUCGGGAGACUGAACCAGCCAAGCCGCGUGAGGGAUGAAGGUACAGAGUAUCGUAAACCUCUUUUGCCAGGGAACAAAGGCGGGGACGCGUCCCCGGAUGAGUGUACCUGAAGAAAAAGCAUCGGCAAACUCCGUGCCAGCAGCCGCGGUAAUACGGAGGAUGCGAGCGUUAUCCGGUUUUAUUGGGUUAAAAGGGUGCGCAGGGGGGCUGUUAAGUCAGCGGUCAAAGCACGGGGCUCUACCCCGGCCCGCCGUUGAAACUGGCAGUCUUGAGUUGGAGAGAGGUAUGCGGAAUGCGCGGUGUAGCGGUGAAAUGCAUAGAUAUCGCGCAGAACUCCGAUUGCGAAGGCAGCAUGCCGGCUCCACACUGACGCUGAGGCACGAAAGCGUGGGUAUCGAACAGGAUUAGAUACCCGGGUAGUC
rnacentral:rRNA from 1 species